rnacentral:rRNA from 1 species
UCCGUAGGUGAACCUGCGGAAGGAUCAUUACAGAAAGUAAACGCGGAUCAAACCGCGAACUUCUAAACCUUUGACGAUUGACUCAUGUUGCCUCGGCGGGUUCUCCCGCCAGAGGAUACAUCAAAACUCCUGUUUUAACGGUGUUGUCUGAGCUACAAGCAACGAAUCAAAACUUUCAACAACGGAUCUCUUGGUUCUGGCAUCGAUGAAGAACGCAGCGAAAUGCGAUAAGUAGUGUGAAUUGCAGAAUACAGUGAAUCAUCGAAUCUUUGAACGCACAUUGCGCCCCUUGGUAUCCCGAGGGGCAUGCCUGUUCGAGCGUCAUUUCACCACUCAAGCCUGGCUUGGUGUUGGGCGACGUCCCCUUUGGGGACGCGCCUCGAAACGCUCGGCGGCGUGGCACCGGCUUUAAGCGUAGCAGAAUCUUUCGCUUUGGAAGUCGGGGCCCCGUCUGCCGGAAGACCUACUCGCAAGGUUGACCUCGGAUCAGGCAGGGAUACCCGCUGAACUUAAGCAUAUCAAUAAGCGGAGGA